rnacentral:rRNA from 1 species
AGAGUUUGAUCCUGGCUCAGAUUGAACGCUGGCGGAAUGCUUUACACAUGCAAGUCGAACGGCAGCACGGGAGCUUGCUCCUGGUGGCGAGUGGCGAACGGGUGAGUAAUGCGUCGGAACGUAUCCAUUAAUGGGGGAUAACGCAGCGAAAGCUGUGCUAAUACCGCAUACGCCCCGAGGGGGAAAGCAGGGGAUCGUCAAGACCUUGCGUUAUUGGAGCGGCCGACGUCUGAUUAGCUAGUUGGUGGGGUAAAGGCCUACCAAGGCGACGAUCAGUAGCUGGUCUGAGAGGAUGAUCAGCCACACUGGAACUGAGACACGGUCCAGACUCCUACGGGAGGCAGCAGUGGGGAAUUUUGGACAAUGGGCGCAAGCCUGAUCCAGCCAUUCCGCGUGAGUGAAGAAGGCCUUCGGGUUGUAAAGCUCUUUCAGCAGGGAAGAAACGAUCCUGGUUAAUACCCGGGAUUAAUGACGGUACCUGAAGAAGAAGCACCGGCUAACUACGUGCCAGCAGCCGCGGUAAUACGUAGGGUGCGAGCGUUAAUCGGAAUUACUGGGCGUAAAGCGUGCGCAGGCGGUUUUUCAAGUCUGAUGUGAAAGCCCCGGGCUUAACCUGGGAACUGCGUUGGAAACUGAAAGACUAGAGUGCGGCAGAGGGGGGUAGAAUUCCACGUGUAGCAGUGAAAUGCGUAGAUAUGUGGAGGAAUACCGAUGGCGAAGGCAGCCCCCUGGGUCGACACUGACGCUCAUGCACGAAAGCGUGGGUAGCAAACAGGAUUAGAUACCCUGGUAGUCCACGCCCUAAACGAUGUCAACUAGUUGUUGGGGAGGGAGACCUCCUUAGUAACGCAGCUAACGCGUGAAGUUGACCGCCUGGGGAGUACGGUCGCAAGAUUAAAACUCAAAGGAAUUGACGGGGGCCCGCACAAGCGGUGGAUUAUGUGGAUUAAUUCGAUGCAACGCGAAAAACCUUACCUACCCUUGACAUGCCAGGAACUUGCCAGAGAUGGCUUGGUGCUCGAAAGAGAACCUGGACACAGGUGCUGCAUGGCUGUCGUCAGCUCGUGUCGUGAGAUGUUGGGUUAAGUCCCGCAACGAGCGCAACCCUCGUUCUAUGUUGCCAGCGCGUGAUGGCGGGGACUCAUAGGAGACUGCCGGGGUCAACUCGGAGGAAGGUGGGGACGACGUCAAAUCAUCAUGCCCCUUAUGUCUUGGGCUUCACGCAUGCUACAAUGGCCGGUACAGAGGGUUGCCAACCCGCGAGGGGGAGCCAAUCCCAGAAAGCCGAUCGUAGUCCGGAUCGGAGUCUGCAACUCGACUCCGUGAAGUCGGAAUCGCUAGUAAUCGCGGAUCAGCAUGUCGCGGUGAAUACGUUCCCGGGCCUUGUACACACCGCCCGUCACACCAUGGGAGUGGGUAUUACCAGAAGCAGGUAGCUUAACCUUCGGGAGGGCGCUUGCCACGGUAGGAUUCAUGACUGGGGUGAAGUCGUAACAAGGUA